rnacentral:snoRNA from 1 species
UUGCAGCCAAUUAAGUCAACUGUGUUCUUUUCCCCAUGGAGGCCUGGUGUGCAAUGGCUGCAAACAGCAGCCUCUUCUGGAGUGUAUGCAGCCUGUUGCCUGUAGGCAUUACCUUAAGGAACCCUGGAGACAGCC